rnacentral:rRNA from 1 species
GAUUAUGGCUCAGGAUGAACGCUGGCGGCGUGCUUAACACAUGCAAGUCGAACGGAGUUUUAACGGAAGUUUCGGAUGGAAGUUUAGAAACUUAGUGGCGGACGGGUGAGUAACGCGUGGGUAACCUGCCUCAUACAGGGGGAUAACAGUUAGAAAUGACUGCUAACACCGCAUAAUAUAGCGAAACCGCAUGAUUUUGCUAUCAAAUAUUUAUAGGUAUGAGAUGGGCCCGCGUCUGAUUAGCUAGUUGGUGGGGUAAAAGCCUACCAAGGCGACGAUCAGUAGCCGGCUUGAGAGAGUGACCGGCCACAUUGGGACUGAGACACGGCCCAAACUCCUACGGGAGGCAGCAGUGGGGAAUAUUGGACAAUGGGGGAAACCCUGAUCCAGCGAACCGCCGCGUGAGUGAAGAAGUAUUUCGGUAUGUAAAGCUCUAUCAGCAGGGAAGAUAAUGACAGUACCUGACUAAGAAGCCCCGGCUAACUACGUGCCAGCAGCGGC